rnacentral:rRNA from 1 species
GUCUGCUUAACACAUGCAAGUCGAACGAUGAUCCGGUGCUUGCACCGGGGAUUAGUGGCGAACGGGUGAGUAACACGUGAGUAACCUGCCCUUGACUCUGGGAUAAGCCUGGGAAACUGGGUCUAAUACCGGAUAUGACUCCUCAUCGCAUGGUGGGGGGUGGAAAGCUUUUGUGGUUUUGGAUGGACUCGCGGCCUAUCAGCUUGUUGGUGAGGUAAUGGCUCACCAAGGCGACGACGGGUAGCCGGCCUGAGAGGGUGACCGGCCACACUGGGACUGAGACACGGCCCAGACUCCUACGGGAGGCAGCAGUGGGGAAUAUUGCACAAUGGGCGCAAGCCUGAUGCAGCGACGCCGCGUGAGGGAUGACGGCCUUCGGGUUGUAAACCUCUUUCAGUAGGGAAGAAGCGAAAGUGACGGUACCUGCAGAAGAAGCGCCGGCUAACUACGUGCCAGCAGCCGCGGUAAUACCGUAGGGCGCAAGCGUUAUCCGGAAUUAUUGGGCGUAAAGAGCUCCGUAGGCGGUUUGUCCCGUCUGCCGUGAAAGUCCGGGGCUCAACUCCGGAUCUGCCGUGGGUACCGGCAGGCCUACAGUGAUGUAGGGGAGACUUGGAAUUCCUGGUGUAGCGGU